CAAUUUUAAUAACACCCCUGGUCCCCAUUAGGUCAAGGAGCAGCAGCUGCAUCUUUCCUCCUGUAUUUUGUUAAGCAAACAAGUCACGGAGUCAGCUUUUGUAGACUGAACCUUAGCGCUGUUAUCAGUGAAUUCAUGCGCGAUUGCCUAUCUACACCUCUGGUCCUCUAAGGUCAAGGCAGCAGCUUUCCUCCAGUAUUUUGCUAAGCAAACAAGUCACGGAGUCGUCUUUUGUAGCUACUCACUCAUCGCCGUAAUCAGGGAAUUCAUUUUCUGUGGUAUGUU